rnacentral:lncRNA from 1 species
UGAAAAGGAAAAGUAAGCAGACUAAAGAUGGCUUUAGCUCUUACAUCCCCUAGAAUACUCUUCAGUCAGGGCAUACUGCAAAAAUGGUGAAUUGACUUUGUGCCUUUACCUCUUUUAUUAGACGCAGCAAUCAGCCAUUUCUGAUAUCUGGAUAAUAAGGUCCUUGUUUCCCUCCUUGACUUCUGCAUGUCACAUGCAAGCUGCUCCAGGAACAUGGGUACUAUAUAUCUCAUGUAAUUUCUGGGGAGAACUGAAAUCUGAAACCAAGGGAAGGCACAGACAGGGGAAACUUCUAGAAGAAACUUUGGAAACCAGAGACUGGAGGGAAGAGCUAAAAGAGUAAGUGAUUUAACCUAUAUAUAAAAUUCUGAGCUGUAUGUAAUGUUCCUUUUUAGCCAGUGGACAGGCAUAAAAGAAGAAAAAACAAGGCUGGGUCAAAAAAGAAAUUUUUGGAAGUUUCCGUAUCCUACACUAGUC